rnacentral:rRNA from 1 species
AACCCGACUCCACGAAGCUGGAUUCGCUAGUAAUCGCGCAUCAGCCACUGCGCGGUGAAUACGUUCCCGGGCCUUGUACACACCGCCCGUCAAGCCAUGGGAGCCGGGGGUACCUGAAGUGCGUAACCGCGAGGAUCGCCCUAGGGUAAAACUGGUGACUGGGGCUAAGUCGUAACAAGGUAUC